AGCAGCCGCGGUAAUUCCAGCUCCAAUAGCGUAUAUUAAAGUUGUUGCAGUUAAAAAGCUCGUAGUUGAACUUCGGGAUCAAUUAGUUGGUCAUGCCUUGGUAUGUACUGAUUUUAUUGGUUCUCACCUUCUAAAGAACUAUAAUGUCAUUUAUUUGAUGUUAUAGGGAAUUAGGACUGUUACCUUGAAAAAAUUAGAGUGUUUAAAGCAGGCUCACGCUUGAAUACAUUAGCAUGGAAUAAUGAAAUAGGACAUCGCAUUCUAUUUUGUUGGUUUCUAGGAUCGAUGUAAUGAUUAAUAGGGAUAGUUGGGGGCAUUAGUAUUCAAUUGUCAGAGGUGAAAUUCUUGGAUUUAUUGAAGACUAACUACUGCGAAAGCAUUUGCCAAGGAUGUUUUCAUUAAUCAAGAACGAAAGUUAGGGGAUCGAAGACGAUCAGAUACCGUCGUAGUCUUAACCAUAAACUAUGCCGACUAGGGAUCGGAUGAUGUUGAUUUUUAAUGACU
rnacentral:rRNA from 1 species